UAGUCAAUUGAAGGUACCAAUCAAAGAACACACUAAAAUCAUUGAGAAAAUUACUGAGGAAGAUCAUCUGGAUGUAAUUGAGGUACCUCCAACAUCAGAUCUUUUUGAAGUACAUUUAGAAAAGGAGUUCUUAGAAGAAUUAGAUAAAAUUAUACUGAAUCAAUUUCAUAAAUUUUUUUCUUAUGAAACUCUUGAAGAAACUACUUCUAUAUUUGAUCUGUGUGCUUCUACAUUUGAUUUAAAAAUCAGGCC
rnacentral:lncRNA from 1 species